rnacentral:rRNA from 1 species
ACCAGUACCGUGAGGGAAAGGCGAAAAGAACCCCGGCGAGGGGAGUGAAAUAGAACCUGAAACCUUGUGCUUACAAGCAGUCGGAGCAGACUUGUUCUGUGACGGCGUACCUUUUGUAUAAUGGGUCAACGACUUAAUUUCAGUAGCAAGCUUAACCGUUAGGGUAGGCGUAGGGAAACCGAGUCUUAAUAGGGCGCUCAGUUGCUGGAAUUAGACCCGAAACCGGGUGAUCUAUCCAUGGCCAGGGUGAAGGUUAGGUAAAACUAACUGGAGGCCCGAACCCACUUAUGUUGAAAAAUGAGGGGAUGAGCUGUGGAUAGGAGUGAAAGGCUAAUCAAACCCGGAGAUAGCUGGUUCUCUCCGAAAUCUAUUUAGGUAGAGCGUCAUGU